AAUAUUGGGCAAUGGGGGAAACCCUGACCCAGCGACGUCGCGUGAGGGAAGAAGGUCUUCGGAUUGUAAAGCACUUUAAGAUGGGAGGAAGGGCUUUAGGUUAAUACCCUGAAGUUUUGACGUUACCAACAGAAUAAGCACCGGCUAACUCUGUGCCAGCAGCCGCGGUAAUACGAAGGGUGCAAGCGUUAAUCGGAAUUACUGGGCGUAAAGCGCGCGUAGGUGGUUCAGUAAGAUGGAUGUGAAAUCCCCGGGCUUAACCUGGGAACUGCUUUCAUAACUGCUGAGCUAGAGUACGGUAAAGGGUAGUGGAAUUUCCUGUGUAGCGGUGGAAUGCGUAGAUAUAGGAAGGAACACCAGUGGCGAAGGCGACUACCUGGACUGAUACUGACACUGAGGUGCGAAAGCGUGGGGGGCAAA
rnacentral:rRNA from 1 species